rnacentral:rRNA from 1 species
UACGUAGGGUGCAAGCGUUGUCCGGAAUUAUUGGGCGUAAAGAGCUCGUAGGCGGUUUGUCACGUCGGCUGUGAAAUCCCGAGGCUCAACCUCGGGUCUGCAGUCGAUACGGGCAAACUAGAGUACUGCAGGGGAGACUGGAAUUCCUGGUGUAGCGGUGAAAUGCGCAGAUAUCAGGAGGAACACCGGUGGCGAAGGCGGGUCUCUGGGCAGUAACUGACGCUGAGGAGCGAAAGCGUGGGGAGCGAACAGG